rnacentral:rRNA from 1 species
UACGUAGGGGGCUAGCGUUGUCCGGAAUCAUUGGGCGUAAAGCGCGCGUAGGCGGCCAGAUAAGUCCGGUGUGAAAGUCACAGGCUCAACCUGUGAAUGCCGCUGGAAACUGUCUGGCUUGAGUCCGGAAGGGGCGAGUGGAAUUCCUGGUGAGCGGUGAAAUGCGCAGAUAUCAGGAGGAACACCAAUGGCGAAGGCAGCUCGCUGGAACGGUAACUGACGCUGAGGCGCGAAAGCGUGGGGAGCGAACAGG